UCUGACACCUCACAAACCUAAUCAGUAUCUUCAUUUUCUCCACCCUGCCUUCGCAUUUUGACAGUGUUCGGGGCAGUUAAUUAGGCAGCUCUCUGUAAAAUUCAAAUCUCAGAGGGGCCCGCCAUCGAGAUUUGCUGACCUGUCCUUUGGUCCUUACACACUACUGGCACUUAUGGAAGGAAGAAAGCAGGAAGAGAAGUUUGGCCUCGGAAUUAUUUGCUGCAAACGAAGAAAGUAAUGAGAACGUUGAGGGUGAAACCUGUGCUCCCCCCCCACCCAUCUCCAGAGAGAGCAGCCCCCAGCCACACUCCCCUUGGGUGGGGCGGGGGCAUAGGCAAGCACCAGCACAUCCCUUCCCCUCGUCACCCUCCAGCCUUGGGGCAUGUGCAUCGGUGUGGACAUUUCCCGUGACUCUUGCCUUUUCAAAAUGCAUUUGGCACAGUCACAACCUCCCACACAUGCUGGAGGGUCCCCCAGGCACACAAUCCACCUUCUGCUUCCUGCCAGAGCUGUGUGGGUAGCAGGAGACACCUAGGUUAGUCUGACCGUCCUGAACUCCUUCUGCAGCACCUGCGACUCCCUGGCACUCAGGAGCUAUUUGUUGGAAGAAGGAGAAACUGAAUGAAUAAAUGCCUCCAUUCUCUACUACGUGAAAACUGCCGCCCAGAGAAGCUCAAUACAUCCAUCAGGCAACCAGGAUGACGAGGGCAUGCCGAUCUAUGUUUGCCAAGCGACUUUAAAGAAGCUGUUCAAAAUAACUGCACCUGGCAGCACUAAGGCUUCCUAUGGAACGGCCUCUCUAAACGACAUGCGGGACCUUGGGCUAUUCACCUACUAAGGCCUGUUUCUUAAUUUAGAACAUGAGGAAUUUGUUUGACGCAGCUGAGGUCUUCGGCACAAUCAUUCUAUAAUUU